UAACGACGUUAAAGUGAGAGUUUAAAAGAAAAAAUAAAAAAUAAUAAAAAAUGGAGGGACUUUCAUUCAGUGAAAAAGUUAAAAAUCUCUUUGGAUACUGAUAAUAAUUGUAAGAUAUCUCUUUUGAUACUUAUAUUUGACGAAAACUACAUCAUAGAACCAUGGGACUAGGACGUUAAAGUGAGUGUUUAAAAGAAAAAAGAAAAAAAAUAAAAAUAAAAAUUUGAGCGCCAUUGGCUUCUGGUAAAAGCAUCCAAUUAAUGCUCCCAACCACUCCAAUGCCCUUCACGUUGAUUCCCGC
rnacentral:lncRNA from 1 species